ensembl:snRNA U6 U6 spliceosomal RNA
GAGCUCGUUUCAACAGCACAUAUACUAAAAUUGGAACAAUACAGAGAAGAUUAGCAUGGCCCCCGUGCGAGGAUGACAUGCAAAUUUGUGAAGCAUUCCAUAUUUUU